rnacentral:tRNA from 1 species
GUGGGGCUGUAGCUCAGUUGGCAGAGCACUUGCCUAGCACGUGUGAGGCACUGGGUUUGAACCUCAGCACCACA